rnacentral:lncRNA from 1 species
AAUCGAGCCAGCGAGGGUUUGGUCGAGAUAAUUGACAAUCCAUGGGUGUCUGUUCUUGGGAGAAUCUUUGGGUAUUGAGACUCUUGAUUCCGGUAUACUCGAGUAUUACCAUUCCUGUUCCUGUUUGGCGUUCGGGCCCGGUAAGAGGUAUGUUUGGUGAACGGGGUUUUGGCGUUAAAGUGGUGUUCUACUGGACUGGUUCCUUUCUUUGAACGUUGACAGAGGGUCAACGAGGCUGGAUCAAGUAUCGCAACGGGGAUUUGGCUCCUGAGAGCCACCUGUAUCCUUUACAUUGUGAUGUUCAUUCAUUUCUCGUAUUUGAUGUGAAUAUGUGCC